rnacentral:lncRNA from 1 species
GAGAAUUGGGAUGGAUCUCUGGUCAUAUGCCUUGAGCAUCCACUAUCAAGAUACCAUCUCUUGCUCCUAGCAUGUGAUGGUGUAUGUUUCUACAAGAGGGAAUUAUUUUUAGGUACCCAUUUACUUUUGGGUGCCUCAAAAACUAAUCUAACUUGUUUAUCAUGUUGCAUAGACUUGAUCAUGGUUCCUUUAGGAACCCAAAUCAAUUUGUUCGGACUAAUUUUCUUGAAUGGACAUUGGUAAGUUAUAUGUCCAUAUUUGCAAUAAAAGUUGCAAUUGCUUUGGUGUUGAACAUGUAAGAUAGGACCUUUAAUGAAGGUGGUUGGAUUUUGGUGAGUACUUC